rnacentral:rRNA from 1 species
GACGAACGCUGGCGGCGUGCUUAACACAUGCAAGUCGAACGGAAAGGCCCUGCUUUUGUUGGGUGCUCGAGUGGCGAACGGGGGGGAAGCACGUGUGUAACCUGCCCGUGACUUUGGGAUAUCUGCAGGAAACUGGGGCUAAUACCGCUUAUGAGCUACUGCUCCGCGGGGGGGGUUGGAAAGUUUCGGCGGUUGGUGAUGGACUCGCGGCUUAUCAGCUUGUUGGUCGGGUAGUGGCUUAGGAAGGCUGCGACGGGUAGCCGGCCUGGGAGGGGGGCCGGCGACACGGGGACUACGAUACGGCGCAGAAUCCGACGGGAGGCAGCAGUGGGGAAUAUUGCACAGUGGGCGCGAGCCUGAGGCAGCGACGCCGCGUGCGGGAUGACGGCCUUCUGGUGGUAAACAGCUUUCGACUUUGAUGAAGCGGGAGUGACGGUAAUGGGUAAAGAAGCACCGGCUAACUACGUG